ACUUGCUUUCUUUGCCGGCGACCGGCGCACGGGUGAGUAACACGUAUCCAACCUGCCCUUUACUCGGGGAUAGCCUUUCGAAAGAAAGAUUAAUACCCGAUGGCAUAGUUCUUCCGCAUGGUAGAACUAUUAAAGAAUUUCGGUCAUCGAUGGGGAUGCGUUCCAUUAGGUUGUUGGCGGGGUAACGGCCCACCAAGCCUUCGAUGGAUAGGGGUUCUGAGAGGAAGGUCCCCCACAUUGGAACUGAGACACGGUCCAAACUCCUACGGGAGGCAGCAUG
rnacentral:rRNA from 1 species